AGUGAACGCUGGCGGCGUGCCUAACACAUGCAAGUCGAACGAGAACGGGUUUAAGUUUACUUAAACUGUCAGCUAAGUGGCGCACGGGUGAGUAAGAUAUAGUUAACCUGCCCUCUAGAAAGGAAUAACAGUUAGAAAUGACUGCUAAUGCCUUAUAUGCCUUUUUAACAUAAGUUAGUAAAGGGAAAUGCUUUUUGUGCUAGAGGAUGGGACUGUAUAGUAUCAGAUAGUUGGUGGGGUAAUGGCCUACCAAGUCAAUGACGCUUAACUGGUUUGAGAGGAUGAUCAGUCACACUGGAACUGAGACACGGUCCGGACUCCUACGGGAGGCAGCAGUGGGGAAUAUUGCACAAUGGACGAAAGUCUGAUGCAGCAACGCCGCGUGGAGGAUGACACAUUUCGGUGCGUAAACUCCUUUUAUAUAGGAAGAUAAUGACGGUACUAUAUGAAUAAGCACCGGCUAACUCCGUGCCAGCAGCCGCGGUAAUACGGAGGGUGCAAGCGUUACUCGGAAUCACUGGGCGUAAAGAGCAUGUAGGCGGAUUGAUAAGUUUGAAGUGAAAUCCUAUAGCUUAACUAUAGAACUGCUUUGAAAACUGUUAAUCUAGAAUAUGGGAGAGGUAGAUGGAAUUUCUGGUGUAGGGGUAAAAUCCGUAGAGAUCAGAAGGAAUACCGAUUGCGAAGGCGAUCUACUGGAACAUUAUUGACGCUCAGAUGCGAAAGCGUGGGGAGCAAACAGG
rnacentral:rRNA from 1 species